AACGAACGCUGGCGGCAUGCCUAACACAUGCAAGUCGAACGAGACCUUCGGGUCUAGUGGCGCACGGGUGCGUAACGCGUGGGAACCUGCCCUUAGGUUCGGAAUAACUCAGAGAAAUUUGAGCUAAUACCGGAUAAUGUCUUCGGACCAAAGAUUUAUCGCCUUUGGAUGGGCCCGCGUAGGAUUAGCUUGUUGGUGGGGUAUUGGCCUACCAAGGCGACGAUCCUUAGCUGGUCUGAGAGGAUGAUCAGCCACACUGGGACUGAGACACGGCCCAGACUCCUACGGGAGGCAGCAGUGGGGAAUAUUGGACAAUGGGCGAAAGCCUGAUCCAGCAAUGCCGCGUGAGUGAUGAAGGCCUUAGGGUUGUAAAGCUCUUUUACCAGGGAUGAUAAUGACAGUACCUGGAGAAUAAGCUCCGGCUAACUCCGUG
rnacentral:rRNA from 1 species